rnacentral:lncRNA from 1 species
AUGGAUAAACAAAUGAUAAAGCUUGGCUUAUUGAAUAUCAGAUCAAUUUCUACGAAAACACUUUUUGUAAAUAAUAUGAUAACUGAUCAUAAUAUAGAUGUGCUCUGUUUGACAGAAACUUGGCUAAAACCUGAUGAUUACAUUAUUUUAAAUGAGUCCACCCCCCAAGAUUACUGUUAUAAACAUGAGCCGCGUCUAAAAGGUAAAGGGGGAGGAGUUGCUUCAAUUUAUAACAACGUUUUCAGGAUUUCUCAGAGGGCAGGCUUCAAGUAUAACUCGUUUGAAGUAAUGGUGCUACAUAUAACAUUAUACAGAGAAACAAAUGUUAAUGAUAAAUCCCCUGUUAUGUUUGUACUGGCUACUGUAUACAGGCCACCAGGGCACCAUACAGACUUUAUUAAAGAGUUUGGUGAUUUUACAUCCGAGUUAGUUCUGGCUGCAGAUAAAGUUUUAAUAGUGGGUGAUUUUAAUAUCCAUGUCGAUAAUGAAAAAGAUGCAUUGGGAUCAGCAUUUAUAGACAUUCUGAACUCUACUGGUGUUAGACAACACGUUUCAGGACCUACUCAUUGUCGAAAUCAUACUCUAGAUUUAAUUCUGUCACAUGGAAUUGAUGUUGAUAGUGUUGAAAUUAUUCAGCCAAGUGAUGAUAUCUCAGAUCAUUAUUUAGUUCUGUGCAAACUUUAUAUAGCCAAAAUUGUCAAUUCUACUUCUUGUUACAAGUAUCGAAGAACCAUCACUUCUACCACAAAAGACUGCUUUUUAAGUAAUCUUCCUGAUGUAUCCAAAUUCCUUAUCAUAUCCAAAACCUCAGAACAACUUGAUGAUGUAACAGAAACUAUGGACUCUCUUUUUUCUAGCACUUUAAAUACAGUUGCUCCUGUACGCUUAAGGAAGGUUAAAGAAAACAGUUCGACACCAUGGUAUAAUGAGCAUACUCGCACCCUAAAGAGAGCAGCCCGAAAAAUGGAGCGCAGCUGGAGGAAAACAAAACUAGAGGUAUUUCAUAUUGCUUGGCGGGAAAGUAGCAUAUCCUACAGAAAAGCAUUAAAAACUGCUAGAUCUGAUUACUUUUCUUCUCUUUUAGAAGAAAACAAACAUAACCUCAGGUAUUUAUUCAAUACAGUGGCUAAAUUAACGAAACAUAAAGCCUCAACAAGUGUUGACAUUUCCCAACACCACAGCAGUAAUGACUUUAUGAACUACUUUACUUCUAAAAUGUAUACUAUUAGAGAUAAAAUUGUAACCAUUCAGCCGUCAGCUACAGUAUCGCAUCAGACAGUGCACUAUAGACCCCCUGAGGAACAGUUCCACUCAUUCUCUACUAUAGGAGAGGAAGAAUUGUAUAAACUUGUUAAAUCAUCUAAACCAACAACAUGUAUGUUAGACACUAUACCAUCUAAGCUCCUAAAAGAGGUGCUUCCAGAAGUCAUAGAUCCUCUUGGGACUAUUAUUAAUUCCUAA